rnacentral:rRNA from 1 species
GACGAACGCUGGCGGCGUGCUUAACACAUGCAAGUCGAACGGAAAGGCCCUGCUUUGGGGGGGUGCUCGGGGGGGGAACGGGGAAGUAAAACGUGAUUAACUUGCCCUUGCCUUUGGGAUAACUUCAGGAAACGGGGGCUAAUCCCGGAAAGGAGCCCCGGUGGCAGGGGGGGGGUUGGAAAGUUUCGGCGGUUGGGGAUGGACUCGCGGCUUUUCAGCUUGUUGGUGGGGUAGUGGCUUACCAAGGCUUUGACGGGUAGCCGGCCUGAGAGGGUGACCGGCCACAUUGGGACUGAGGUACGGCCCAGACUCCUACGGGAGGCAGCAGUGGGGAAUAUUGCACAAUGGGCGGAAGCCUGAUGCAGCAACGCCGCGUGCGGGAUGACGGCCUUCGGGUUGUAAACCGCUUUCGCCUGUGACGAAGCGUGAGUGACGGUAAUGGGUAAAGAAGCACCGGCUAACUACGUG